UCACCAGCUGUGUUGAAGAGAAUAUAAAGCAAAGGCACUAAGCAUUGCACAGUACGUUCUACAGACUUAUAUUCAUAUAAUGUUGCACUUCACUACAGCCUCAUCUAAACAAGAUAAGAGACAAGUUCUUUAGCCAUGUUUAUGUUGUGAGCCAACUUUAAACACGACUACAGAACUCCAAGGGGAAACUAUGAAACAAAUGGAAAAAAGUAAAAUACCGUGGUUGUUAUUGCAUUUGGCAUUCUACGUUCAAGAACAGAGACAAUCUGCUGGUGCACACUGAAAUACAGAUUGAGCUGGAUAGAGGAAUCUUCCCUCACCACCUUCCAUUUGGUCAGCUGAUCUCAAGUACACUCUUAAGAGCAAGUGGAGUGGAGACAGCUGCUUUGUACUCUUCUGUUGUGUGAAAUACAGACCAACCUCCAAGUAGGCUGUAUCUUCUUGCUCCUUUGGUGGUCUUUGCUGUUUUACCUGUCUUACUGAAUGGUGCAUGGAUUUCUUGGAGCAAGUUUUCCCUUAAUACAAGUUGUUAAAAUAAAACCUGGCACCUUUUGGCUACAUGCUGCCAAAUCACCAGCAAUUACCCAGUUAAUGAGGUGAGGAUUACACAGAGGCAACCUGAGAUAGUAUAGUUACAAGAGAAUCCAUUCAUAAAGCUGUUGACUGUGCUUUGUUUUUUCCAUUCAGAGAGAACCCCCCCUCCAUCUGUCCAGGGUAGCUUGGCUCUUCUAGCCUUGCCAAAAACCACACCAGUCUGAAAUAUGGAGGACAGCCUUCCUUUUUACCACUGGAUACCCAAGAAGCCAUUAAGAAAUGCCAAGGUAAUAGUGCUGUGAAGCAUAAUGGCAGAACAUACUCUUUCAUCUUCACCUAGCUUCCACCACCUAAACUCCUUCAGCCUUGUUACAUCCUUGAAUACCCUUUCUUGCACUUCCCCAGCUCUCACAGUGCACUGCUCUCCCAGUUUGCUUGCCUCUGGGUACCAAAAUACCCAGAACCAGCAACUCGCUUUCCACAUAAUAAGGCUCAGCUCCACUGCUAAGAAGAGAUGAAAAACAAAGUCCAUUUCCUUAGCAGUAUUUUCAAGGUAAAAACCAAACUGUACAGAAGUGGAAAACAACACAAGACGUGGACCAAGUCCUUCAGAUUAAGUCUUACACCUGGAAAAGUUAUUCUAAAAAGCACCUGUUCAGCUGCGAGUAACAAUAAACUGAAGGCAAAACUAA